rnacentral:rRNA from 1 species
UACGAAGGGGGGCUAGCGUUGUUCGGAUUUACUGGGCGUAAAGCGCACGUAGGCGGUUUGUUAAGUCAGAGGUGAAAUCCCGGAGCUCAACUCCGGAACUGCCUUUGAUACUGGCAAGCUAGAGUCCGGAAGAGGUAAGUGGAACUCCUAGUGUAGAGGUGGAAUUCGUAGAUAUUAGGAAGAACACCAGUGGCGAAAGGCGGCUUACUGGUCCGGGAACUGACGCUGAGGUGCGAAAGCGUGGGGAGCAAACAGG